CGAAGGGGGCAAGCGUUGUUCGGAAUUACUGGGCGUAAAGGGCGCGUAGGCGGCUUAUCAAGUCAGGCGUGAAAUUCCCGGGCUCAACCUGGGGGCUGCGCUUGAUACUGAUGAGCUUGAAUGCGGGAGAGGAUAGUGGAAUUCCCAGUGUAGAGGUGAAAUUCAUAGAUAUUGGGAAGAACACCGGUGGCGAAGGCGGCUAUCUGGCCCGUAAUUGACGCUGAGGCGCGAAAGCGUGGGGAGCAAACAGGAUUAGAUACCCCUGGUAGUCCACGCCGUAAACGAUGAAUGCUAGACGUUGGCGAGCAUGCUCGUCAGUGUCGGAGCUAACGCAUUAAGCAUUCCGCCUGGGGAGUACGGUCGCAAGAUUA
rnacentral:rRNA from 1 species